GCAAUUGAAGGCCUGAGUCGUGGUUGGCAGGAGUUGUGCUUCUGGUCCAUCUUGGUGUUGUCACGGCCUGCUUCAGUCCGUCUGGUAGGAACUGGAAAGAGGAAAUUAUCAUAGGUGAUGCCUACAUUAAGGAACAGCAGCCCCUGCCCACAAUCUGGUGAGCAUUUUCAGUUAUGCGUUUUCCCUAAUAUUUAACAUCAUUUUUUAUUUACCCAAGUGUAUAUGAAUUCCUUAUUUGCAUACCGUGGUUGAUAUUAUUGUUGUGCUGUGUUUUGAUACUUGUGCGAAAAGCAGUAUAUAGGUCUUUGAAUAAACAGGGCUCCUUUGGGAGGAAGGGCGGGAUACAAAUUGAGUAAAUUAAUAAAUUUAACAAAGAAAAAUAAAGAAAAAGUGGGAAGCGGGACAUGAACACAAUACUGUCUCCUUAUGUUGUCCCACAAUGACUGAUAUUCAGAGGCAUAAUGCCUCUAACUCUGGAGAUAACUAUUUUUUAGUUUUUAUUCUUAUUUAUUAUUUAAAUUUGUAUACCACCCUUCAUCUGAAGAUCUCAGGGUGGUACACAGCAUAAAAACACAAAAUACAUAAGAAUUUUUAAAAAAACCAUAAUCACCCUCCCACGAACACAUUUUAAAAAACCCAUAGAAUGUUAGUCAGCCAAAGGCCUGGUUGAAGAGGAACUAGAAGCAAUUUAUGGCUUAAUCCUCCAUGAACUUGUCUAAUCCCCUUUUAAAGCGAUCCAAAUUGGUGGCCAUCAACAUUUUUUAUGGUAGCAAAGUCCAUAUUUGAAUUACGUUCUGUAUGAAGAAGUACCUCCCUUUGGUUUUCCUGAACCUACUGUGUGUUCUAGUGUUGUGAACUUAUGAGAAAACCACUUUACAUUUACCGUGCAUAAUUGUAUAAACCUCUCUCAUAUCUACUAAACUCCCCCCCCCCCAAACUAAGAUGUGUCAUCCCUUUGUUUCAAGGGAUGAAUAAAGAACAACUCUUCCUGAAGAAGAAGCAGAGCCUCCAAAGAUUUAGCAGAAUUGUACAGAACAAGUUGGCACCAUCUGGUCAAAAGACAGGCUUCCCUCCUGCAUCUCUGCGACAUGCAUAAUUGACACAUUGAUUUUUAUUUUUUAAAGAGGAAUGUAUUUUACAACCUUCUGCCAUUACACCAUUGUGCCAGUCAGACUAAGAUUUUGUCUGCAUCUCUGCCAAGUCACUUAAGCACAGGAUGUUGCCAAAUUGCUUUUUAAGCUCACCAGAGAGUUUGGUAGCAAGGAUUGGGCGGAGGCUGUUGUGGCAAAAUUUAAUGAAAAGCACUGGACCUCUGCCAUCGUUUCAGUCAUGUGUCAGUCCUAACUAGCAUGGUUUAGUUAAAUAGGCAGGGUUUUGUUAAGUGGGGUAUGUUGGGUCUAUAGGUUGCUAUCACUCAAGGUUAGGUCACUGCAAACCUUAAAACACUCUCUCUCACACACAGACACAUUCACAUGCACACUCUUGCCUUAAAGGAACUGUCAAGACCUUAAUCCUGCAAAUUAUCUGAGUAAAUCCUAUUGUUUCUGCAAAGAGAUUUAUUUGGGGGGGGGGGUGGAGCUUACAUUUCCACCAGAAGGUAAACAACAAGCUUCCAAAAGAAUAUUUCCAGUGCUUGCCUCAAGUUAGAUGUCUGUUGAAACCUUUAAAACAACCAACUGAAGUAUCCGUCUCAUGACAGCAAAUUAAGAAACCUAAUAUCCAUUCAUGAUUAUAGUUUGAAAUCCAGUUUUAGCAGUUCUUUUCUGCCAUAAAGGGGGCAGGGGUUGGGGUUUUUUUUAGGUCAGCUACCCAGUAAAAUCGACAGCCAGCUGAGUCUGUCUGGUGAGUUUUGUUUUAUAAGCAAACAUGUACCUGCAAACUGAUAUUAAUACCUUUUAAUUAACAGCUCCCAUUAUUCCUGCAACAGGUUAUGAGUCAACUGUGCCUAUAUACUACUAGGUGUCAGGAUAAUACGACAGCCAACGCAUGAGCCACAUCCUUAAAAAAGAAACAGGGUUUGGAUGGAGAAGGUGAAAGAAAAAUCUGCUUGCUGGCAGGGAUUUAAGCUUACUCAGCUGUUCUGCCAUGAAGCACUUUUAUGGAGAUAUAUUUAUGCUAUGCAAACUGCAAGAUUUUUACAGCUGAAUACCACCCUAACUUGCUCCAUCUUGCUUUUCUCUGAAGUCAAAGGUGCUGACGCACAGAGAGAAGCACAGCUGAAUAUGGGCAGGCAUAAUGGAAAGGAAGAUGUUAGCACUGAGAACUAGCAGAAUCAAAAUCAUCUGUUCAGUUUAACUUCCCUG
rnacentral:lncRNA from 1 species